AGAGCAAAAUUGGCAAGUCCUCCUUCGACUAAAGCGAAACGGCGCCGCGUUCUUUACUCUCCCCUUACACGACGUGCCUUGGCCUACCGGCUUCAGCGAUCCUUCUUCUCGCCGCCUCAACCAACCCGUCAGAUCAGAUAGCGUAACUGCCCAACGCCGUCCUUCCCCAUCUCUCCGCUUUCCCUUUGCUCCACUCUCCUUCUUCGCCUUCCGGCCCUCGCGACCAUGAUUUCCACCGCUAGUGGACCCAAAACCGUCGUCACCGGCUACCCUGCUGCCACCGCCGGCUCAUCCUACCCCUACCCGGCUCCGCCGCCAGCCUCCUACUACCCUAAUGGCCAUCCGCCCCCACCCCCGCCCCAGCCGCUGUACUACCCCGCGGCUUACCCCGCCGCCGCCCCUCCUCCCCGCUACAACACCGCUUUCCUCCGCCGCCUCCUCUCCAUCGCUGUUGCCCUCUUCCUCCUCUUCGGCCUCAUCACGCUCAUCGUCUGGCUCGUCCUCCGCCCCCGCUUACCGGAGUUCACCGUCUCCUCUGCUACCGUCUCUGGUUUCAACCUUUCCACCUCGCAGCAGCUGCUGUCCGCCGACUUCGAUCUCAAUCUUACCGUCCAUAAUCCCAACAGCAAGAUGGGGAUCUACUACGACCACGUCGCCGCUGCCGUCCUCUAUGGUUCCGACCCCCUGUCCGAGACCUCGCUCGCGCCUUUCUAUCAGGCGAAAGGGGCGACCACCGCUCUCCGCGCUCGGCUUGUGGCAGUCGGGAUGUACGUCGAUUCCAACGUGGUGAAGGGGAUCAACUCGGACCGUGGCCGAGGCGAUGGGGCCGUGCGCUUCCAGGCUAGGGUUUCGGCGUGGGUGAGGUUUAAGCCCGGGGCAUGGAAGACGAGAUGGCACACGAUGAGGGUCUACUGCGAUGAUGUCCCGAUUGGUUUGAGAAAUGGGACAACUGCAGCGACCACGGGUUACCUUGUCGGCUCGACACCAAAGAAAUGCGUGGUUAAUCUCUGAGAUCUUGUGAGAGCGCGUGAGUCUUGAUGAUAUUGACUGGCCCAAUAAGUGCUGAGGACUUUAUCCCCUUUUUCAACCCUUGAUCUUGUUAUCAUGCUUCUUGUUAGCUUUGAAGAAACUUUUUGAAAAGGACCUGUUUGCGUUAAUUGGAUAUGUCUGAAGACGAUGGGUGGAUAUAUUUGACAAGUAAUUUGACUUCUUGAGUGGGUUUUGAGACUGGACAGCUGAAAUUAGUUUCCACUUGGUUGCAACAGAUGCAGGAAAUUGGUUAAACUAAGUUUUUUUAUGUAUUUGAAAUGGAUAUACUGAUAGGGAGAAGCAAGGAUAAGUAUUUUUCUGUAGAUUCGUUCUAAUAAGUGCAAGCAUCAGGUGAAGCACCUUGCUUUCAAAUGAUAGCAACUGCAUCUGGUUUUCUCAUGAAUGCAUUUGGAAACCAUGUGCUGUUGUCAAAAAAGUCUUUUUGUGCCAGAAACAUACAAAUACAUAUAUUUUUCAUUUUACUUGAGUAGGGUGCAUGAACUUUUCUUGACGUUUUACAUCUGAAGAUUUCUAGGGUCUAGAGAUCUUUUUGCAGCUACUCUGUUGAACAUUUUUCGGGGAAUUGGUUGUUAGAUUAAUUAUGGUUUUUGAACAUUGAGAUUUUGGAAGAACGGCCAGGCAAAUUGUAUGAUGGGCUGAGUAGUUUCCUAGUCCAUUAAUAUUUCUAUAGGCUGGUACCUCCCAGUUUGAUGUGUGGUGUGUACGCAGGGGAUGGGGUUUUUUUGCCUGAUAAGCCACACUAACAUCUUGAAGCCGUGGCAUUUUGGGUUUUGCUGUCAAGGCUAUUCCAUGGAAUUGUUCCGAGAAAUUUAGAGAAUGUUCACAUCAUUUUUUUUGUCGCCUUUGCUGUGCAACAGAAGCUGGGUGUGAAAUGGUUGGUGCAGAGUAACAUACGAGGACACCAGUUGUGUCAGUCUUCCUAUUCGAAAGCAAGGUCAAGGUAUACACGAGAUUAGUUGACGUGAGUGGUGUGAAGUCUCCUGGAGUUGGAAGCAUGCGGCUCACCUAACAUGUGGUGGUGUCUCAUGAUGACCGAUUUGCCUUGCCUGCCCACAGAUUUCUUUAGCAAACUACCAAAGGAUUCACUAACGUGUUAGGGACGUGACGCGAUGCGGAUGGGAUCGUGUUUGUCAUAUCGUCAAUGCUAUUUUCCCGGGGCACUGUUCCUGCUUCCUCUUUUUCUUUCAGAUAUGGCCUACGGUAUUCAAAUCAUAUAGACAUAUGGUCAAUUGUGUUUUCCCUAGAGAUUACGUCUGCGUUACGUUCAAUAUAUUGAUGCCAUGUCAUGAUGGGAGGUAACAUUGGUUUUCGUAUGGAGUCCGAUCGUCCCUAAUCCCUGGCCUGGGUGGCUUGGCAUGUUUCAUGGAUGCCUGUUAUAAUUUGUAUAAGAGUUCAAUUGAAGUUUGUUCGAUCAA